rnacentral:rRNA from 1 species
UCACAUUGAACGCUGGCGGCAGGCCUAACACAUGCAAGUCGAGCGGUAACAUUUCUAAGCUUGCUUAGAAGAUGACGAGCGGCGGACGGGUGAGUAAUGCUUGGGGAUCUGCCUGAUGGCGGGGGACAACCACUGGAAACGGUGGCUAAUACCGCAUAAUACCUAUGGGUCAAAGUGUGGGACCUUCGGGCCACACGCCAUCAGAUGAACCCAAGUGAGAUUAGCUGGUUGGUAAGGUAACGGCUUACCAAGGCGACGAUCUCUAGCUGGUCUGAGAGGAUGAUCAGCCACACUGGGACUGAGACACGGCCCAGACUCCUACGGGAGGCAGCAGUGGGGAAUAUUGGACAAUGGGCGAAAGCCUGAUCCAGCCAUGCCGCGUGUGUGAAGAAGGCCCUCGGGUUGUAAAGCACUUUCAGUGGGGAAGAAAGCCUUGGGAUUAAUACUCCCGAGGAAGGACAUCACCCACAGAAGAAGCACCGGCUAACUCCGUGCCAGCAGCCGCGGUAAUACGGAGGGUGCGAGCGUUAAUCGGAAUUACUGGGCGUAAAGCGCGCGUAGGCGGUCGUGUAAGUUAGAUGUGAAAGCCCUGGGCUUAACCUGGGAAUUGCAUCUAAUACUAUACGACUAGAGUUUGAUAGAGGAGAGC